rnacentral:tRNA from 1 species
GGGCCCGUAGCCUAGUACGGAUCAGGGCGCGAGCCUCCGGAGCUCGCGGUCGUGGGUUCAAAUCCCACCGGGCCCG